ensembl:rRNA 5S_rRNA 5S ribosomal RNA
GUCUAUGGCCUUACCAUCCUGAAUAUGCCUGAUCUCGGAAGCUAAGCAGGGUUGGUUUGGUUAGUAUGUGGAUGGGAGAAGAGAUAACUAGCUGAGACU